rnacentral:lncRNA from 1 species
GGGCUAAUGAUGAGAAAUUCAAUUAUCUUAGCGGAUUUCAGUGAGAUUUUUAAUCAAUGAUCUGAUUGUUACACACACUGAAACUCUUAAUAAUAUUUUUAUAUGAAAUGGGAUGUUAAUAAUAAUUGCGGUGAUGAGGUAAAACACAUGAGGAUGUGUUUAGGACAGUGGACAAAACGACUAAAACCGUUUUGCCGUGAUCCCCAAUUUAAACGACUUCUCCUUCCACUGAGCUUUUUUUAUUUUCAUUCCAACUUUUAUUCAAAAACAAUUUUUUGUCUAAUUUCUUUUACAAGUAUAUAUAUUUUCGAAGAGAGAUGCUGCGUCCAUUUACCAAUUCUGGAGGAUAAGUUGGUUCCUUACGGUGUAAUGGCUCGGACGCCAUAUUAAUAUUUGUGGCCAUCCUGAUCAAUGGCUUCUCAAUACCAUUGCAUCCUGGAAACACCUCAUACAUUU